CAGGAACUUGCUCUGUCACCCACGACUGGAGUGCAGUGGCAUUAUCAUAGCUCACUGGAGCAUCAAACUCCCAGGCUCAAGGGAUUCUUCUACCUCAGCCUCCCGAGAAGAUUAGGUAUACAUCAGCAUGCCUCCCAAGGUGUGUAGCUGUCAUCAGUAAUGUUCUGGACAAACAUCUGUAAUAUCACCAAUGGCAGAAGACCAGCAUGGAAGAAAUAACCUUCAGAUUGGUGCAAUCAUUGCUCUGAGUCUUCUAGAGCUAACAAAUAAUAGACAUUUGCAAGAUGGUGGUAAAGUCAUCCAGGAGGCAUUGAGGAAGGUUGACGCAGAUAAUAUUUCCUCAAGAGGAUGGGCCCAGGCUCUGUGAUCUAGCCAACACAGGAAUUUGUUAAGUUUGGGCUUAUGUUCCUGCUGGAGGAGCAACGCUGGCACCUGAAUUACAGCCCGAUGGCGGGGGAUGAGCUGAGUGCUGAGCCUCCGCGAGGGAAGCGCUGUUCAAGCUGCUGGUUGACUUUUCCUGGGGCUGGGGGAUCCACCUUCACCAGUCAGCAGAAGUUAGACCGCCUCACAGGCACUCUGUGUUGCUCUCAGUGCUGGAGGCCAGGACCUGAGGGCCGAGGACAGAGCUUGGACAGAGAGGACCGCAGCCUGGGUUUCCCUUGGCCACUGGGAGCACUGGCAUCCUUGGCCAAGUUACUGCUUCCCUUUGACGCUCAGCUUCCUCCUGUGUUAAUAUUUAUUUGGUCUGAGGCAGUGCUCUCAGAUAUGAAACCCAUCUCCAAAGAAAAUUUUACAAGGAAGCCCUAUUUGUAGAACAAAUAGAAACUACUCUAAUUAAAGCAGCUGGAAGAUGAGUAGGGUGUUAGACCGAGGAAUUUUAAUAUUUGUUAUACUUAACAUCUGGAAACCAAUCGUUUCAAGUAUAAUUCUUGAUUACUUACUUUGGCUGAAGCUGCUCACAAAAAAACAAGAUAUUCUCUGACCACCUAAUGAAAACACUCUGCCCCCGGGAGCUCUCUGUGCCUUACACUGACGUACUUUUCCUUCUACUGUUUAUCGCCUCUGAUGCUAUAUUAUGAAUUUAUUUGCUUAUGUCCUUAUUGUAUAUUUUUCUCAUUAGACGCACACUCCAUCAGGAUCAGGGUUCUUUUCGUUUUAUUUGCCAUUAUAUUUCUAGCACUCAAAAUAACGCCUGGCACAUAAUAAAUACUUGUUGAAUAUAUGUCUGGAUUUCCCAGAAUUUAAUUGGAAUUCUCAUGUUCCCCCAAACUUGUAUACAUGUAGGGCCACCUCAAAGUCUGAGCGGUGAGAUGAGUGUUCCCUUGCUCAAGAGUUAUUUUCUCUGGGGGAAAAAAAUUGAGAUGUUUAAUUCCUAAGAAGUGCAAAUUCUACAUAUUUUGCUGUACCAAAAAUAAUCACCCUCUUCAUAAAAAUUUCAAAGGCACAAGGAGGACCUCAGCAUGCAUUCCAGAAAAAAAGGCUGAAAAGGGUAGAGCAGCAGAGGCUGGUGCCAUACAGUCGACCCAUGAGCACUGUGUAUGUAUGGCCAGGGAGCUCCAGGACACCACUCAUCAACUAGAGAGCUCUAUAAUCAGCAGCAGAGAGCAGGCAGCCUCAGGCUUCAGACUCCUAAAAGUUUUGACUGCAUCCCAGGAAAUGUCUGAAAAUUUGAACAAGUGUGAAUUACUGGGUUAUUAACACAAUUCUUCACAAUGGUUCAGGUGCCCUUAGAAGACUUUCGGCCCCUCUUAGGGAUGGUGCUAGCCUUUCCCUCUGGAGGAGAAUUGCGCAGCGGAAGGAGGCCAGGCUUGGGCUUUAGAGUUGUGUUAAAACUCAGUUCAAAUCUACUACUCACUGAUUCUGGGAACUUCGAAUUUCUAUGUCUUACAUGUAAAAUAAGGUUAGACAUAGCUCUCUAAUAGGAGUUUGUAAUAAUUGCAGAUACUGUUUAUAAAACAUCCACCAUAGUGCAGAACACAGAGCAUUAUUAUUUUCCACCACUAUGACUAUAGUUGAUGCAAUAUUAAAAGGUAAGAUGCAUAUAUUAACUUCAGUCAACAUAAAGAGACAUUCUGUGUGGCUACAUUACAGCAUAAAGCAAGGAUGAAGCAUAAACCUUCUGAAAAUCCAGUGUUUAUUAA
rnacentral:lncRNA from 1 species